UUGGUUUAGGAGACACAGAGGAGACUCCCUUGAAAAAAAAAGAAAUACACAAAGAAAAGACUGAAAAGCAGGAUAAAUCUGAAAAGAAAAUUUAAACUAAAGUCACACACAGAGAAAAGGAAAAAGACAAAGAAAAAACAAAAGAAAAGGAAAAACCUGAAAAGAAAGCAACUCACAAGGAAAAAACUGAGAAGAAAGAAAAGCCAGAGACAAAGGCAGGAGCAAAAGAAGAAAAGAAGGCUAAGUCUAAAGAAAAGACUGAUGAAAAGACUAAAAAGGAAGCAAAAGGUGGGAAACCAGAGAAAAUGAAGCAAACAGCUGCAAAAGUAAAAGAAGUACAGAAACCAUCACCGAAAACCAAAGAGAAGGAUAAAGAAAAGGAGGACAAAGAGGCACUGUCCAAACAUGAGCAGCAAGGUAAACAUUCAGAGGAGGAAGCAGCCCGAGGCUCUAAGAGGAUAUUGGGCAAGAAGCAGAUGCAGUAAAAUUAACCUGACAAAGAUCAAAAUCAGACUCCAAACAGGGGUAACAGACCCAUACAUGUAAAUAUACUGGAAAAGAAAUAUAAUAAAAUGGGAAUUAAUAUUUAUUUAUAGAAAUAUAAAAUGAGUUCAAACAUAUCUAAGGUUGCAUUUUGAAGUAUUUUAAAGUGGUUUUUGAAUUAGAGUCUGGAGUUACUUAAAUGUUGGGAGUAAAUGUUGAAUUCUUGAGAUGUAGAAUUUCUAUUAAGAGACAGAAUAACAAUUGAACAAUUUUGUGUGUCAUACUUAAGAGAAAAGCACUCCAGAAAAAAAAUGAUAGCAAUUCCAAAGAUUUGUUAAGGAGUCUAUGAACAAAUUAUAAAUAAUAAAUACUAUUAAAACUA